rnacentral:rRNA from 1 species
GACGAACGCUGGCGGCGUGCUUAACACAUGCAAGUCGAACGGAAAGGCCCUGCUUUUGUGGGGGGCUCGAGUGGCGAACGGGUGAGUAACACGGGAGUAACCUGCGCUGGACUGGGGGGUAACGUGAGGAAACUGGGGCUAAUACCUGAUAGGAGCUCCUGCUGCAUGGUGGGGUUUGGAAAGUUUCGGCGGUUGGGGAUGGACUCGCGGCUUAUCAGCUUGUUGGUGGGGUAGUGGCUUACCAAGGCUUUGACGGGUAGCCGGCCUGAGAGGGUGACCGGCCACCUUGGGCCUGAGAUACGGACCAGACUCCUACGGGAGGCAGCAGUGGGGAAUCUUGUACAAUGGGCGGAAGCCUGAUGCAGCAACGCCGCGUGCGGGAUGACGGCCUUCGGGUUGUAAACCGCUUUCGCCUGUGACGAAGCGUGAGUGACGGUAAUGGGUAAAGAAGCACCGGCUAACUACGUG